rnacentral:misc_RNA from 1 species
AGAUGAGGUGGAGGAGAAAAUGGUGCCAAUUCAGGCAGAAGUGUGUCAUUGCCAACUUCUUCUGCAUCUAGUGAUAGGUAAACAAGGUUUUCCAAUUUUCUGAUGGAUGCAAAUAGCUCAUCGGCAUGAUCCUCAGACACAUCAAGAACAUGAAGUUUCGUAGCUGGGUCAAAUUACUCAAUUCACUAGCAAUGCCAGUACCAGCAUAAAUCCCAGUGCAUGUCUGAAGAUUUUCCAAUUUUCCAAUCCCCAUUGGAACCCUAAUUCCACAAUCAUAUUCGAUGAUAUCGCACAAUAAAAGGUGCCGAAGCUGUUUAAUA